rnacentral:lncRNA from 1 species
GCCGGCCGGGCCCUGUGUGCGGUCCACGGCCCGUGCCCGUGCUGUCCGCGGCGGGCUCAGCCCCCGCCUACCUGCGCUGUCCGCGGGGGGGCCCGGGCCGCGCGGGGUCAGCGCCGGCCGUGCUGUCCACCUCUGGGCCACCCGAUCCCGAUCCCCGCAGGGUCAGCCCCAGCCUGUGCUGUCCAGAUGGAGUCUCUGAAACCAGAGGGGCCCAACCCCUGCCUCCGCUGUCCACAUCAGCGCCCCAGGAUCUCAGGGUCGCCCGUGCCUGUGCUGUCCAGGGCAGGUCCCCAGUUCCCUGCAGGGCCAGCCCCUGCCUCUGCUUUCCAGAUCAGGCCCCAGGAUCAACCCCUGCCUCUGCUGCCUGAUCCCUGUCGGGCCUGCUUCUGCUUCUGCUGUCCAGGUCAGGUCCCCAAACCCUCGAGGGUCUGCCCUCUGCCCUUUCUCCCUGGACGAGCCCCCUUCCUGCACAGGGCUGGCCCUCUGUUCCUGCCCCACCAGGUGUGCCCCCCUUGCUGCCCCCAGCACCUGUUCAGGGCCAGACCUUUGGGCCAUAACCCACCAGGCGCUCCCCUCACUUCCUGAGAUCCCUCUGGCCUCUUCCCACCAGGUGGAGCCCUGUCCCCCUCCAACCCCCAUUCCCACAGGCGGGCCCUCCGCCUCUCUGCCGUCUGUGGGGAAAACCCAUGCCCCUCUGCAGUGGAGUACACCCCGUCGGGGAGCAGACACCCUUUCCUCUCUCCUUGUGGCCCAGGGCGGGUGGAGCCCUGAGGAGCCUGGGCAGGUUUUCGAAACUGGCAGAAUCAUCGACUCUCCUCAGCCCCUUUCCUUACGUCUCAGUGGGAGCCCGGUCACCCGGGUCCUCCUCCCUUUCCUGGAGAAGAUUCCUGUCCGAGUCUCUGUCUCCCCAAGGCACACCUGUUGCAGGGAGCGAGUCUGCCCAGCUGUCGGCAAAGUGUUGUCACCCCAAAUAAGGGCUGUUAGAGGACUUACCUCUGCAGUCAAAGGCAAGCAGGUCGUUUACACAACAGAGGCCCUUGCCCUGCCUUCCCCGGAGCUCCACUGCAUUCCUGAGCUUCGAGGAAGGGUGGAAAUGCGGCUGUGACACCGUGGAGGGGGGUGUCCUGCCAUAGAGAGGUGCACCCUCAGAAUGGUGCUGGAGUUCGGAGGCACCGAGUCGGGUGGUGGGUCGGUGGCCUUCAGGAGGCCUCGGGUCUUG